UUUCAGCAUCAAACACGUGAGAUGGCCACAGAUUUUCUAGGAUUUUAAAGUGUUAUAUGAUGCUAUCCAAACUUCAUCUUGAUUUUCAGAAGUCUGUGAAACUUUGAAAUAAGGAUGAGUCAGUUUCACAGGUUUCUUCAAUAUCAAUGAUUUUGCAUGUGUAUCCAUCAAAUUGCAAUUUUAUAGUUUGAAAGACUGACGGGAUUCUCAACAUUUAACAGGAAAUUUCAGGUAUUCAUUCAGAUAACAACGGCUUCUGAAAUAUUCGUCAUUUGUCAAUUCGGAUCAUUCAACAACUCGAACAUGAAUAUUGAGAGCAGACUUUUUUCAUAUGAAUAACUCUCCCGAGCACAGGACAGGGAAAAUUCGAGUGCAGGCGGUUUUAUCUCAAUCACCAUUUUCGUCAUUUAGCUCAGAAAGUGGGGAUAGAGAUAAAGUCACUCGUGCUUCACAUCUUCAUUAUCAUAAUGACACCUCAAUGGAGAUGGCUGUUUCUAUUUGCUGAAUAAUCAAGUUCUGCCAAUCACUGUCAAGUAGGUCCUCCAAAAUUCCAGGCUCUUCAUGUUUCACAGAAAAUGACGCCUAAUUCGUUUUUUGGAGUCACUUUUAAUGAUGCGUCUAUAAAGCAGAUUUUUUUCAUAUGAAUAACUCUCCCGAGCACAGGACAGGAAAAAUUCGAGUGCAGGCGGUUUUAUCUCAAUCACCAUUUUCGUCAUUUAGCUCAGAAAGUGGGGAUGGAGAUAAAGUCACUCGUGCUUCACAUCUUCAUUAUCCUAAUGACACCUCAAUGGAGAUGGCUGUUUCUAUUUGCUGAAUAAUCAAGUUCUGCCAAUCACUGUCAAAUAGGUCCUCCAUUGCCAAGUCGAUGGAUUGAAUGGAGGUGGCCACUCAGAUUUCCCGAUUCAACCCCACUGGACAUUUUCUAUAGGGAUGGUUGCACUCAAAAGGCUCUGAAGGACGCAACCAACUACUGCAAGAAAAAAUUAUCUGAUCGUGAAAGGUGGAAAACCCUGAAUAGGACAAGAAACAAUAGCUUCUCCACAAAAAAUAUGUUUAUUUUUUUAUGUAGGUGAUUAAA